rnacentral:rRNA from 1 species
AUUGAACGCUGGCGGCAUGCCUAACACAUGCAAGUAGGACGAGUGGCAGACGGGUGAGUAAUGUCUGGGACACUGCAUGAUGGCUGUGGAUAACUACUGGAAACGGUAGCUAAUACCGCAUACCACCAUUUGUUCCCAGAUGGGAUGAGCUAGUUGGUGGGGUAACGGUUCACAAAGGCGAGGAUCCCUAGCUGGUCUGACAGGAUGACCAGCCACACGGGAACGAAGAAACGGUCCAGACUCCUACGGAAGGCAGCAGAGGGGAAUAUUGCACAAUGGGCGAAAGCCGGAUGCGGCAAUGCCGCGUGUAUGAAGAAGGCCUCCGUGUUGUAAAGUACUUUCAGCGGGGAGGCGUUACCCACAGAAGAAGCACCGGCUAACUCCGUGCCAGCAGCCGCGGUAAUAC